rnacentral:pre_miRNA from 1 species
GGAAACUUGGAAACUACCGUUGGAUCGAGAAAUGGACGUCCCAGAUUCGUCCACAUCAUGGUGACGUGGACGAAUCUUGAACAUCCAUUUCUCGAUCCAACAGUAGUUUCCAACUUUCC